UUAUCUGCCCGGUGAAAGUUUUUAACGGCCGCAGUACCUUGACUGUGCAAAGGUAGCAUAAUCAUUUGACUUUUAAAUGGAGCCUAGAAUGAAAGAAAGAACGUAGACAAUUUGUCUUAUUAAUAAUAAUUUAAAAUUACUAUAUGAGUGAAAAUACUCAUAUAUUUAAAAAUAGACGAGAAGACCCUUAGAAUUUUAAAAAUAUAUAAAUAAAUUUUAUAAGCUUUUUUGUUGGGGCAACAAUAUUUCAUGUAAUAAAUAGUACGUUGAAUAAUAGAGCGAUUUAAAUAGUUAUAGUAAAAUUACCUAAGGGAUAACAGCAUAAUUUUAAUAAUAAGCUUGUGACCUCGAUGUUGGACUAGGUACUAUUAAGGCUAAUCGUUUUAA
rnacentral:rRNA from 1 species